GCCCGGGAGUCCGGGCACCA
rnacentral:tRNA from 1 species